ACGGGCAUAGCAAUAUGUCAGUGGCAGACGGGUGAGUAACACGUGGGAACGUACCUUUUGGUUCGGAACAACUGAGGGAAACUUCAGCUAAUACCGGAUAAGCCCUUACGGGGAAAGAUUUAUCGCCGAAAGAUCGGCCCGCGUCUGAUUAGCUAGUUGGUGAGGUAAUGGCUCACCAAGGCGACGAUCAGUAGCUGGUCUGAGAGGAUGAUCAGCCACAUUGGGACUGAGACACGGCCCAAACUCCUACGGGAGGCAGCAGUGGGGAAUAUUGGACAAUGGGCGAAAGCCUGAUCCAGCCAUGCCGCGUGAGUGAUGAAGGCCCUAGGGUUGUAAAGCUCUUUUGUGCGGGAAGAUAAUGACGGUACCGCAAGAAUAAG
rnacentral:rRNA from 1 species